rnacentral:rRNA from 1 species
UGCAAGUCGAACAGUAGCACAGAGAGCUUGCUCUUGGGUGACGAGUGGCGGACGGGUGAGUAAUGUCUGGGAAACUGCCCGAUGGAGGGGGAUAACUACUGGAAACGGUAGCUAAUACCGCAUAACGUCGCAAGACCAAAGUGGGGGACCUUCGGGCCUCACACCAUCGGAUGUGCCCAGAUGGGAUUAGCUAGUAGGUGGGGUAACGGCUCACCUAGGCGACGAUCCCUAGCUGGUCUGAGAGGAUGACCAGCCACACUGGAACUGAGACACGGUCCAGACUCCUACGGGAGGCAGCAGUGGGGAAUAUUGCACAAUGGGCGCAAGCCUGAUGCAGCCAUGCCGCGUGUAUGAAGAAGGCCUUCGGGUUGUAAAGUACUUUCAGCGAGGAGGAAGGCGUUGUAGUUAAUAGCUGCAGCGAUUGACGUUACUCGCAGAAGAAGCACCGGCUAACUCCGUGCCAGCAGCCGCGGUAAUACGGAGGGUGCAAGCGUUAAUCGGAAUUACUGGGCGUAAAGCGCACGCAGGCGGUCUGUCAAGUCGGAUGUGAAAUCCCCGGGCUCAACCUGGGAACUGCAUUCGAAACUGGCAGGCUAGAGUCUUGUAGAGGGGGGUAGAAUUCCAGGUGUAGCGGUGAAAUGCGUAGAGAUCUGGAGGAAUACCGGUGGCGAAGGCGGCCCCCUGGACAAAGACUGACGCU